AUGGGCAGGUCUGGUACAGGGGGCGUGUGUGAGACGUGGUUGGAUUGAAGCAAACUGAUGAGAGAGUUUUGCAUCUUAUCUAAAAUCAGAUUUGACCAUCCCACUCACUGUCUAAACCACACUCCCCACAUUAUCUUUUUUUUUUUUUUUUUUUUUUCAUCAUACAUUUAUAUCAUCUCACUACUCUUUUUAUUAAACCAAGAAUGUGAGGCGUGAUUGGUGACCAUACGAGUCAUAUUUUUAAUUCGAAACUAUAAGUUAUGUAUAUUUCUAUGUGUGGUUGACACGAGCAUGUGUCAACGUUCGUGACACUUUUAUUUUGAAAAAAA
rnacentral:lncRNA from 1 species